UACAGAGGUCUCAAGCGUUGUUCGGAUUCAUUGGGCGUAAAGGGUGCGUAGGCGGCGCGAUAAGUCGGGUGUGAAAUCUCGGAGCUUAACUCCGAAACUGCAUUCGAUACUGCCGUGCUUGAGGACUGGAGAGGAGACUGGAAUUUACGGUGUAGCGGUGAAAUGCGUAGAUAUCGUAAGGAAGACCAGUGGCGAAGGCGGGUCUCGAGACAGUUCCUGACGCUGAGGCACGAAGGUCAGGGGAGCAAACGGG
rnacentral:rRNA from 1 species